GAUGAACGCUGGCGGCGUGCCUAAUACAUGCAAGUCGAGCGAACGGACGAGAGGCUUGCUUCUCUGAUGUUAGCGGCGGACGGGUGAGUAACACGUGGAUAACCUACCUAUAAGACUGGGAUAACCUCGGGAAACCGGAGCUAAUACCGGAUGAUAUUUUGAACCGCAUGGUUCAAAAGUGAAAGACGGUCUUGCUGUCACUUAUAGAUGGAUCCGCGCUGCAUUAGCUAGUUGGUAAGGUAACGGCUUACCAAGGAAACGAUGCAUAGCCGACCUGAGAGGGUGAUCGGCCACACUGGAACUGAGACACGGUCCAGACUCCUACGGGAGGCAGCAGUAGGGAAUCUUCCGCAAUGGGCGAAAGCCUGACGGAGCAACGCCGCGUGAGUGAUGAAGGUCUUCGGAUCGUAAAACUCUGUUAUUAGGGAAGAACAUAUGUGUAAGUAACUGUGCACAUCUUGACGGUACCUAAUCAGAAAGCCACGGCUAACUACGUG
rnacentral:rRNA from 1 species